AUACGGAGGGUGCAAGCGUUACUCGGAAUCACUGGGCGUAAAGCGCGCGCAGGCGGGCUGAUAAGUUGGAUGUGAAAGCCUACGGCUCAACCGUAGAACUGCAUCCAAAACUGUCAGUCUAGAGUCUGCGAGGGGAAGAUGGAAUUAGUUGUGUAGGGGUAAAAUCCGUAGAGAUAACUAGGAAUACCAAAAGCGAAGGCGAUCUUCUGGAACAGUACUGACGCUGAGGCGCGAAAGCGUGGGGAGCAAACAGAAUUAGAUACCCUAGUAGUCC
rnacentral:rRNA from 1 species